UAUAUGUGCGUCAGUGUGUUAGCUGUCUAUGUGUUUGUAUGUGUUUAUGUUGCCAGUGGUAUAUGGCAGGGAUUAGGUGGCAAAGAGUGCAGAUGUGGAGUAGAGGACCUGGCAACAGUGCUCAGAAGGGAAAGACUCCGAUGGUUUGGACAUGUAAAGAGAGCAGGGGAGGACACAGUGCUGGGAGAGACUGGAGGUAGGAAACAGUGCUCAGAAGGGAAAGACUCCGAUGGUUUGGACAUGUAAAGAGAGCAGGGGAGGACACAGUGCUGGGAGAGACUGGAGGUAGGAAACAGUGCUCAGAAGGGAAAGACUCCGAUGGUUUGGACAUGUAAAGAGAGCAGGGGAGGACACAGUGCUGGGAGAGACUGGAGGUAGGAAACAGUGCUCAGAAGGGAAAGACUCCGAUGGUUUGGACAUGUAAAGAGAGCAGGGGAGGACACAGUGCUGGGAGAGACUGGAGGUAGGAAACAGUGCUCAGAAGGGAAAGACUCCGAUGGUUUGGACAUGUAAAGAGAGCAGGGGAGGACACAGUGCUGGGAGAGA